rnacentral:rRNA from 1 species
UGGCCUCCUUUGUUUUUCCUGAAACAAUGCGCUUGAAGAGGGGGUUCCGCGUCCCAUUAGCUAGCUGGUGAGGUUACUGUCUCUCUCCAAGGCGAUGAUGGGUAGCUGGUCUGAGAGGACGAUCAGCCACAUUGGGACUGAGAUACUGCCCAGACUCCUACGGGAGGCUGCAGUCGAGAAUUUUGGGCAAUGGACGAAGUCUGACCCAGCAAUGCCGCGUGCGGGAUGAAGGUCUUCGGAUUGUAAACCGCUGUCAAGAGGGACGAAAUUUGACGGUACCUCCUGGAGGAAGCCACGGCUAACUACGUGCCAGCAGCCGCGGUAUCACGUUAGGUGGCGAGCGUUGUUCGGAAUUUAUUGGGCGUAAAGGGUCCGCAGGUGGCUUGAUAGGUUGACGUGAAUCCCGAGCUCACUCUGGAACGGCUUGAAACUGCUUGCUGUAAUCGAUGGAGA